GACGAACGCUGGCGGCGUGCUUAACACAUGCAAGUCGAACGGAAAGGCCCUGCUUUUGUGGGGUGCUCGAGUGGCGAACGGGUGAGUAACACGUGAGUAACCUGCCCUUGACUUUGGGAUAACUUCAGGAAACUGGGGCUAAUACCGGAUAGGAGCUCCUGCUGCAUGGUGGGGGUUGGAAAGUUUCGGCGGUUGGGGAUGGACUCGCGGCUUAUCAGCUUGUUGGUGGGGUAGUGGCUUACCAAGGCUUUGACGGGUAGCCGGCCUGAGAGGGUGACCGGCCACAUUGGGACUGAGAUACGGCCCAGACUCCUACGGGAGGCAGCAGUGGGGAAUAUUGCACAAUGGGCGGAAGCCUGAUGCAGCAACGCCGCGUGCGGGAUGACGGCCUUCGGGUUGUAAACCGCUUUCGCCUGUGACGAAGCGUGAGUGACGGUAAUGGGAAAAGAAGCACCGGCUAACUACGU
rnacentral:rRNA from 1 species